rnacentral:rRNA from 1 species
UACGUAGGGGGCAAGCGUUGUCCGGAUUUAUUGGGCGUAAAGAGCGUGUAGGCGGUCAGGUAGGUCCGUUGUGAAAACUCGAGGCUCAACCUCGAGACGCCGAUGGAAACCAUCUGACUAGAGUCCGGAAGAGGAGAGUGGAAUUCCUGGUGUAGCGGUGAAAUGCGCAGAGUAUCAGGAGGAACACCGAUGGCGAAGGCAGGUCUCUGGGCCACUAUUGACGCUGAGAAGCGAAAGCAUGGGGAGCGAACAGG